UACAGAGGGGGCAAGCGUUGUUCGGAAUUACUGGGCGUAAAGCGCACGCAGGUGGCUGAGUCAGUCGAUUGUGAAAGCCCUGGGCUUAACCUGGGGAAUUGCAGUCGAUACUACUCAGCUAGAGUAUGGGGAGAGGGUAGUGGAAUUCCCGGUGUAGCGGUGAAAUGCGUAGAUAUCGGGAGGAACAUCAGUGGCGAAGGCGGCUACCUGGCCCAAUACUGACACUCAGGUGCGACAGCGUGGGGAGCAAACAGGG
rnacentral:rRNA from 1 species